GGAGUCGUGGCUCAGUGGUAGAGCACUUGCCUGGCAUGUGUGAGGCACUGAGUUCAAUUCUUAGCACUGCA
rnacentral:tRNA from 1 species